rnacentral:lncRNA from 1 species
AUUUAAACUUUUUGAUCAAUUGGGUAUUGGAAAGAAGGUCAAAUUUUAAUUAUUUGAUAGUUGUUAGGUUUUGGAGUUAGAUUAGGAUGUGUACUUUGCUUUGAGGCUUAAAGGUUGUUUGGUUUAUCGGAGUUACGAUUUUUUUUUCUAGUUUUUGGCCCAUUACGAGGCUGUUUGGUUUUUCGAAAAAGCGUAGAAAGAAAAUUUUUAAUAAAAGGAUUUUUUAUGGAAUUUUUUUUUCAGUUUUUUGUCCGUCUGGUUUCAAAAAAAAGUUAAAAUUUUAUGAAAAACUAGUAUUUUCGUGUUCCUA